AGAUAUAAACAAACGGAUGCAAAAAGAAAAUGAGGAAAAUAUAUCAUCACCUUAAACGUAAAAUGCAAAAUAGAGGAAAAACACACACACACACACACACACACACACACACACACACACACACACACACACACACACACACACGUGUUUACAGCCAGAGGUACAGUUAAAUCAAAGAAGUAAAGGAGCCAAUAGAAACCUUCAAUUUGUUCCUCUAUAUACAGAGUGUAACAGGUCAGUACUGUAACAGGUCUGUACUGUAACAGGUCUGUACUGUAACAGGUCAGUACUGUAACAGGUCAGUACUGUACUGGUUUUAUAUAUUCAAGUAGGAGAUCUCUAACCAUCCAACUUGGGUCAGGUUUGCAUUGUCCUUGUCUUACGGGUUAAUAAUAGGUCAUGUGACCUGACUGACCUGGUCGGCAAUGUGAGCAAUCGCA
ensembl:lncRNA